rnacentral:lncRNA from 1 species
GAUCAAUAAUUCUUAUAAGUUGCCAUUCUACACAUGAAUGAACGUCACUCUGAAAAAAUCAGAGGGAAUAGAUCCAUAGAUUUCACUUAGAGGGAAUAUGUGGACUGAAACUCUUACUGUCAUCUUCCAGCUGGAAUCCACUUAAAUUUUAAGGGUUUGGAGUACAUACAGCAUGGCAAAGCUGGUAUGUCUGAGAGGACAUUACGGUGCUUAUGUCCUGGAUGCGGGCUUUUAGAAGCACUGCAUUGUCCACUGUGGCAAAUAGGAGAACUAAACUAGGUAGAGAUUUAGUCUCAUCUAGUAAGGAUUGUUCACAUGUUUCUUCAGUUGCGUAGAGGUGAUAGCACCACUUUUUCUGUGUUGCCAGGAAAACCAAGUUGUAUCUUCUUCCAUGUACAUAUGAACCCCAUUUGUGAAGGAUUGACACAGUGAUGAGAAGAACCGGAUUGUGAAGUCCUCUCAAGUAGUCUGGGAUUUCAUCUGAUAUGGAAAGGAGUGGGUACAUCAGUGGAUCCCAUGCCACAACCAAGAUGCAUCCUGGUUCACAAUGUCAUGGCCAAGAAACAGAAUACUGUAGAUGCAAGAUAACCUUAAUGACAGUACACAGCUCCAAACCCCACACCCUGUCUGAUCUGGUGGCAGUAAGUCUGUGGUAUCACUGUUGCUCCCUGACAAAACAGCCUUCAACACCUGGACUGGACAAUGUCUUCAAUAGACUUCCUUGCCUAACUGAGGCUGUGGCCCUGACCAAAUCAUUAAGCUUUUUUUCUAUGGCUUUGGCAAGAGAAGAGAAAAUCAGACAUCUCUCUUGAGAAGUUUAAUAUCCUGAACAAGAACUCCUACGGAACGAAAUGCUCAUUGCCUAAGAAUUACUUGUGGUUUUCUGCAGUAAAUAUUUCAAGUUGCCCAGCUUCCAUCCAUGGAAAUCUAGCUUGUCCAAUGCUCAGGACGCUAGAUACAUAAGAACAUAUUUUUCAGUUCUACCCAGACCUGUGAUUUAAAAAAUAAAAAUAUGUCUAGCAAUUCUUGCCUUAAACUA